UUCCUACGGGUGGCAGCAGUAGGGAAUAUUGGACAAUGGGCGAAAGCCUGAUCCAGCCAUGCCGCGUGAAUGAUGAAGGCCUUCGGGUCGUAAAGUUCUUUUCUGAGGGAAGAAAAAUCUGGGGAGGAAAUGCUCCGGGUCUGACGGUACCUCAGGAAUAAGCAACGGCUAACUCCGUGCCAGCAGCCGCGGUAAUACGGAGGUUGCAAGCGUUGUUCGGAAUAACUGGGCGUAAAGGGAGCGCAGGCGGUCUUGUUAGUCUAAAGUGAAAUGCCAGGGCUCAACCUUGGACGUGCUUUGGAUACUGCGAGACUUGAGUACGUGAGAGGAGAGUGGAAUUCCAGGUGUAGCGGUGAAAUGCGUAGAUAUCUGGAGGAACACCGGUGGCGAAAGCGGCUCUCUGGCACGUUACUGACGCUGAGGCUCGAAAGCGUGGGGAGCGAACGGGAUUAGAUACCCCUGUAGUCUC
rnacentral:rRNA from 1 species